rnacentral:tmRNA from 2 species
GGGGCCGACCUGGUUUCGACGUGGGUGCGGAAUCGGAGCAGGGCAUGCCGAGCACCAGUUCGCUCGUAAAACCACUGGAAACAAAGUAACUGCGAACGACGAACGUUUCGCCCUCGCCGCUUAACACCGGUGAGCCUCUCAACGGUUGGCCGAUGGGCCGGGCCUGAGAUCGCAAGGUCAAGGGCUGAGAGGUCAUUCACAUUGGCUGGAUCUGAGCCGGGUCACACGGUUCAGGUCGAGAUCUCGUGACUGGCGUGUCCAAGAGGGUGUUCCUGCCCGCUUGGCGCGCGAGACUCAAAUCAGAGAACUACGCAUGUAGAACUGCCUGAGGAUGGCUUGCGGACGGGGGUUCAAUUCCCCCCGGCUCCACCA